GACGAACGCUGGCGGCGUGCUUAACACAUGCAAGUCGAGCGGAAAGGCCCUUCGGGUACUCGAGCGGCGAACGGGUGAGUAACACGUGAGUAACCUGCCCUUCACUUUGGGAUAACCCUCGGAAACGGGGGCUAAUACCGGNUAUGACAUGGGAUCGCAUGGUCUUGUGUGGAAAGUUUUUCGGUGGGGGAUGGGCUCGCGGCC
rnacentral:rRNA from 1 species